CUCAGCCUUUUGAGGAGAAGGCCCAUCCUGCGAGGGCAGCCGAACAGAUGAACCGGACGGGAGCUUUCGGGGGCGUAUCCUGCAGUGGGAUGUGGAGUUCGAUAAAGUUGCAGGAUGCGGGGGAAGCGGAUUGCUUGGCUGUUGUAAAAAAAAAAAGGAGAUAGCGUUGGAGCGCCAGUGUCUGGGGGCUGUGGUGACUUGGAGGUCUCCUGUUGGCCAGGCCACUGGUUUCAGCUGGAAAGAACAGCAGGUGUCCUGGCUGCUUUGGCGUGUCCUGGCUGUUUUGGCGCCUCCUGGCUCCUUUUCGCAGAUCCCUCACCUGCCCUGAAGGGAGGCCAGGGUUAUUCAGAGGGGCGUUCCUCAGGCAGCUUUUAAAGGAUUUCAAAACCCUUGAAGUCCCUAACUGGACUGUUUUCACCCUUGAACUGAACCUGGAAAUCCCAAGGAAGGAAGGACGGUGCUGCUGGAGGCGAUCCGCAAAGAGCUUGGCAUGCCAAGGACCCCCUUCCGCUCUCCCGAGGCGGUGACUUGGUCCUUGUCUGUCCUUGUCCGUACUGGGGCUUGGAUGCGGUCCCAGUUAGGGAUCAAGAUGGCUGCUUGUGGAGCCUGAUUGCCUGCCUUCAAACUCCGGUUAGCAACCUACUGCAAGGCCUUGGAGAGCUGCCUAGCCUCUCUGGGCCCCCGUUUUCUCAGUCCUAAGUGGGUAUCAUGAUGGUGUCACCUUGAUCGAGCUGUCGCGAACAUUACUUGAGCCAGUGGCUUUGAAAGACUUCAAGUGGCACCCAGCAUUCAGAGCUCUAAGAUCAGCUUGCUUGCCUUAGACUUUAAGUGCCCCUGAACUUCAAGCAGUGUUGGCCAAAGCACACCUCUUGUUCCCAAGGGAAGCAUUUAAAAUCGCUGUUCUCAGAGGCUGUGAUGAGACCUCUGUGGGAUUCACUGCUGGAAUUCCACCAGUCGUUGGUGAAAAGGCCUUGUGGAAACUCAUGAUGGAACUGAAUCCCUUGUAUGACGAGGUGGAAACUGUAUCCAGUGAUGCUACCUGAAGGUCAUACAGAAAUAAGGAUGCAAUGCCCGUGACAACUGGGAUUUGUGGUUGGAAGGAGCAAAAUGAACAUAAUACAAUAUUCCAGGAUAACUUGAAGAAAUGCAAGGAUGAACAUGCAAAGAAGCCUCCCUGGACCAAGUGCCAUCAAUAGGAACCAGAGCCUGGAACACCUGUUUCUAUGAGCCUCAUUGAGUACGCAGUGCAAAAUCUCUUGGGCAACUCAACUGCCAUUUGGAAACUCUCCCAGUUCUUGGCCAUCCUUGGUAUAGAUCAGCCUAGUAAGGGUGACUCCCUUUAUUAGGGCGCUCUUAAAGAUUUAGCAGAUCCUCUGCAACUGUUCUGGGGAUGCCCUACCUGGGGGAAAGCUUUCAGUUUAGGACCAGUCCCAACGUUAUGACUUGUGAACUUUCUUUUCUGAGGCUGCUCUGGAGCCCCAGAUAGGCAAAGGCAAAGUGACUCUUCCACUCUUCCCUGCAGACUCUACCACUAGUACCAUUGGACCUACUUCAGCGACAAAGCCCAACCAAACACUUUACCUUCCACAUCCCAGUCUGCACAUAGCCCUCCUUGGCUUCCUGUUCAUUCAUAGACACAAGGCUGUACUAGGCUAGUUACAGGCUGUGUUGGCUGAACCCCUUAAAGCGAAGGCUCAUAUCCCAAACCAACUCCUUUAGCCUAGUACCGAUUUUGCUGACUUUUUCAGUGUGGAUUACUUGAUUAAGAGAUCACCUGACAGAUAACUCCCCCAGAAAACUGAGAAUAAAACUGGAUGAAACACAAUUCCCAGUAUCAUGGCAUAUAACUAUAGUG